UACGUAGGGUGCAAGCGUUAUCCGGAAUUAUUGGGCGUAAAGAGCUCGUAGGCGGUUUGUCGCGUCUGCUGUGAAAACUGGAGGCUCAACCUCCAGCCUGCAGUGGGUACGGGCAGACUAGAGUGCGGUAGGGGAGAUUGGAAUUCCUGGUGUAGCGGUGAAAUGCGCAGAUAUCAGGAGGAACACCGAUGGCGAAGGCAGGUCUCUGGGCUACUACUGACGCUGAGAAGACGAAAGCAUGGGGAGCGAACAGG
rnacentral:rRNA from 1 species